rnacentral:rRNA from 1 species
UACAGAGGGGGCAAGCGUUAUUCGGAAUUAUUGGGCGUAAAGAGCUUGUAGGCGGUUUGUCGCGUCUGCUGUGAAAUUUCGGGGCUCAACCCCGAACUUGCAGUGGGUACGGGCAGACUAGAGUGUGGUAGGGGAGACUGGAAUUCCUGGUGUAGCGGUGAAAUGCGCAGAUAUCAGGAGGAACACCGAUGGCGAAGGCAGGUCUCUGGGCCAUAACUGACGCUGAGAAGCGAAAGCAUGGGGAGCGAACAGG